AAGGAUCUAUCCAAAUUCCUUUGCUGAUCUAUCCAUAUUUGACGUUGAGGUUCUCUUACUUGUCUACCAUCAGUAGCCUCAUCAUAAUCUCUCAAAACACCAUUUGAUAUUAAAUAAAUAAAAAUAUAAUUACUCAAAAACACCCAUGGAUCAGGGUUGUGCCGAUUUUGCAUGUGCAUCUGGAGAUUUUGGUGACUUACUUCCAACACAUUGUUGGUUCGCCAAACAGUAUCACUGACUGACAAUAUAUCUGCAUUAAUUCCUAUUGACAAUGAAGUAGAGCCGAUGACAAAAUUAGCUCUUUACGUUCGUGGGCCACACGACGCUCCAGACUACCACUUAAUCCGGCUUGAUAACGAUAUUUAAUUUAAUAUUAUAAUAAAUAUUUAAGCUGCAUCAAUGGUGCUUGUCGACUGCAUGUUCAUUGUAUACUAGACUUAAGUAAGUGUGUGGGUAAAUGUGUGUAUUUAUAAUGUAUUAUAAAGGAGGGGUUUUUAUUUUGGAAAACGUCUCGAGUUUAAAACGGUCCGUGGAUGAAAAAUAAAAAAAUAUUGUUUAAAAUAAUUAAUCGAUUAUUGUCUUAUAUCAGGAGUAGUUUGAGUGUCAAGGACACUAACCGGAUACGCGUCAUACAACAG